AGCGUACACGGUGGAUGCCCUGGCAGUCAGAGGCGAUGAAGGACGUGCUAAUCUGCGAUAAGCGUCGGUAAGGUGAUAUGAACCGUUAUAACCGGCGAUUUCCGAAUGGGGAAACCCAGUGUGUUUCGACACACUAUCAUUAACUGAAUCCAUAGGUUAAUGAGGCGAACCGGGGGAACUGAAACAUCUAAGUACCCCGAGGAAAAGAAAUCAACCGAGAUUCCCCCAGUAGCGGCGAGCGAACGGGGAGCAGCCCAGAGCCUGAAUCAGUGUGUGUGUUAGUGGAAGCGUCUGGAAAGGCGCGCGAUACAGGGUGACAGCCCCGUACACAAAAAUGCACAUAUUGUGAGCUCGAUGAGUAGGGCGGGACACGUGGUAUCCUGUCUGAAUAUGGGGGGACCAUCCUCCAAGGCUAAAUACUCCUGACUGACCGAUAGUGAACCAGUACCGUGAGGGAAAGGCGAAAAGAACCCCGGCGAGGGGAGUGAAAAAGAACCUGAAACCGUGUACGUACAAGCAGUGGGAGCACGCUUAGGCGUGUGACUGCGUACCUUUUGUAUAAUGGGUCAGCGACUUAUAUUCUGUAGCAAGGUUAACCGAAUAGGGGAGCCGAAGGGAAACCGAGUCUUAACUGGGCGUUAAGUUGCAGGGUAUAGACCCGAAACCCGGUGAUCUAGCCAUGGGCAGGUUGAAGGUUGGGUAACACUAACUGGAGGACCGAACCGACUAAUGUUGAAAAAUUAGCGGAUGACUUGUGGCUGGGGGUGAAAGGCCAAUCAAACCGGGAGAUAGCUGGUUCUCCCCGAAAGCUAUUUAGGUAGCGCCUCGUGAAUUCAUCUCCGGGGGUAGAGCACUGUUUCGGCAAGGGGGUCAUCCCGACUUACCAACCCGAUGCAAACUGCGAAUACCGGAGAAUGUUAUCACGGGAGACACACGGCGGGUGCUAACGUCCGUCGUGAAGAGGGAAACAACCCAGACCGCCAGCUAAGGUCCCAAAGUCAUGGUUAAGUGGGAAACGAUGUGGGAAGGCCCAGACAGCCAGGAUGUUGGCUUAGAAGCAGCCAUCAUUUAAAGAAAGCGUAAUAGCUCACUGGUCGAGUCGGCCUGCGCGGAAGAUGUAACGGGGCUAAACCAUGCACCGAAGCUGCGGCAGCGACGCUGAUGCGUUGUUGGGUAGGGGAGCGUUCUGUAAGCCUGCGAAGGUGUGCUGUGAGGCAUGCUGGAGGUAUCAGAAGUGCGAAUGCUGACAUAAGUAACGAUAAAGCGGGUGAAAAGCCCGCUCGCCGGAAGACCAAGGGUUCCUGUCCAACGUUAAUCGGGGCAGGGUGAGUCGACCCCUAAGGCGAGGCCGAAAGGCGUAGUCGAUGGGAAACAGGUUAAUAUUCCUGUACUUGGUGUUACUGCGAAGGGGGGACGGAGAAGGCUAUGUUGGCCGGGCGACGGUUGUCCCGGUUUAAGCGUGUAGGCUGGUUUUCCAGGCAAAUCCGGAAAAUCAAGGCUGAGGCGUGAUGACGAGGCACUACGGUGCUGAAGCAACAAAUGCCCUGCUUCCAGGAAAAGCCUCUAAGCAUCAGGUAACAUCAAAUCGUACCCCAAACCGACACAGGUGGUCAGGUAGAGAAUACCAAGGCGCUUGAGAGAACUCGGGUGAAGGAACUAGGCAAAAUGGUGCCGUAACUUCGGGAGAAGGCACGCUGAUAUGUAGGUGAAGUCCCUCGCGGAUGGAGCUGAAAUCAGUCGAAGAUACCAGCUGGCUGCAACUGUUUAUUAAAAACACAGCACUGUGCAAACACGAAAGUGGACGUAUACGGUGUGACGCCUGCCCGGUGCCGGAAGGUUAAUUGAUGGGGUUAGCGCAAGCGAAGCUCUUGAUCGAAGCCCCGGUAAACGGCGGCCGUAACUAUAACGGUCCUAAGGUAGCGAAAUUCCUUGUCGGGUAAGUUCCGACCUGCACGAAUGGCGUAAUGAUGGCCAGGCUGUCUCCACCCGAGACUCAGUGAAAUUGAACUCGCUGUGAAGAUGCAGUGUACCCGCGGCAAGACGGAAAGACCCCGUGAACCUUUACUAUAGCUUGACACUGAACAUUGAGCCUUGAUGUGUAGGAUAGGUGGGAGGCUUUGAAGUGUGGACGCCAGUCUGCAUGGAGCCGACCUUGAAAUACCACCCUUUAAUGUUUGAUGUUCUAACGUUGACCCGUAAUCCGGGUUGCGGACAGUGUCUGGUGGGUAGUUUGACUGGGGCGGUCUCCUCCUAAAGAGUAACGGAGGAGCACGAAGGUUGGCUAAUCCUGGUCGGACAUCAGGAGGUUAGUGCAAUGGCAUAAGCCAGCUUGACUGCGAGCGUGACGGCGCGAGCAGGUGCGAAAGCAGGUCAUAGUGAUCCGGUGGUUCUGAAUGGAAGGGCCAUCGCUCAACGGAUAAAAGGUACUCCGGGGAUAACAGGCUGAUACCGCCCAAGAGUUCAUAUCGACGGCGGUGUUUGGCACCUCGAUGUCGGCUCAUCACAUCCUGGGGCUGAAGUAGGUCCCAAGGGUAUGGCUGUUCGCCAUUUAAAGUGGUACGCGAGCUGGGUUUAGAACGUCGUGAGACAGUUCGGUCCCUAUCUGCCGUGGGCGCUGGAGAACUGAGGGGGGCUGCUCCUAGUACGAGAGGACCGGAGUGGACGCAUCACUGGUGUUCGGGUUGUCAUGCCAAUGGCACUGCCCGGUAGCUAAAUGCGGAAGAGAUAAGUGCUGAAAGCAUCUAAGCACGAAACUUGCCCCGAGAUGAGUUCUCCCUGACUCCUUGA
rnacentral:rRNA from 1 species